UUAGAGAUAUUUAGUUCUAAACAUAUUUAAAAGUUUACGAGAUUUUGGUCUUUUCUUCAUUUCGCAAUAGCAUUGGUGCAUCCGUUACCCUAGGAAUAAUGCAAUGUUAAAUCUAUGCAUGCGUAUAUUUACCAGUGCUGAAUAUGACUAGAGUGUAACUAGAGUAUGAUAUAAUAUUUUUAAAUAUCAUGUCUCCUUACCUUUUUGUCCUUUCAAUCUAAGGAAAGACUGAAGUGUGACGAUGACAAUUAUACUGAUAAGUUUGCUGUAGAAACAAGGUUUAAAUGUCACAUUCUCUAUUAA